rfam:Neotoma lepida isolate 417 scaffold_115277, whole genome shotgun sequence.
UUACUAGUCAGGCUCUGGCUAUACACCAGGACAGAGUAGGUCCUGGGUAUAACCAAAGCCCGACUGAACA